UGGGGAAUAUUGGGCAAUGGGCGAAAGCCUGACCCAGCAACGCCGCGUGAUUGAAGAAGGUCUUCGGAUUGUAAAGAUCUGUCCUAUGGGAAGAAACAAAUGACGGUACCAUAGGAGGAAGCCCCGGCUAACUACGUGCCAGCAGCCGCGGUAAUACGUAGGGGGCGAGCGUUGUCCGGAAUUACUGGGCGUAAAGGGUGCGCAGGCGGCGCUUUAAGUCAGAUGUGAAAUACCCGGGCUUAACCUGGGGGGUGCAUCUGAUACUGGAGCGCUUGAGUGCAGGAGAGGAAAGUGGAAUUCCUAGUGUAGCGGUGAAAUGCGUAGAUAUUAGGAGGAACACCAGUGGCGAAGGCGACUUUCUGGACUGUAACUGACGCUGAGGCACGAAAGCGUGGGGAGCAAACA
rnacentral:rRNA from 1 species